CAAAAUUUUAGUUUUUAAUAGACAAAAACCCAAGUCAGUUUUUUUUCUUUCAAAUAUCUCAGACCGCCUUCUCUAACAAAUGGUUCGUUCCUUACACUUUAAAUCUAUUUAGACUGGGGACCAUCAUUCAGCUGUGUUAUUUCUAGUAAAAAUAGGCUGGGGCGUUUGGGGUUACACAGGUUUCCGUAGGUAAGUAAUAAUGUUGUGGAACUUUUUUUUCAAGAAAGUGUAAUAGAGUAUAACUUUCUGUCUCGUGGAAUUGUGAAAUAGAACUUCAAGUCAAUACGUUCUUGUUCAAUCCUGUUUCGUUUUGAAGAUGUCAUGAUUGUUAUCCUCAGUCUAUGUGUUACUGAAAUUUGAUUUUCAAAAUGACUGAGUGACGUUUUACGGCGAACUGGUCAACUCCGCCAUAGCGAAUCACAUGAGUUUGUUAUAAUCAGUAAAUACCAGCAAAACAUAUCAUUAUAAGUAAAUAAUUGUCGCAUAAAAAAUAAAUACACGGGAAAUGGGAAAGUUCUCGAAGACUUGUCUGAUUAAUCAGUUUCCCCAAAAACGUCCAAGCAACGCCUUAUUUGACCCAUCUAGAUCCGCCACUGCCAGUCAAACUACGUCUUCCAAUGUAAAUACAGAAACAAAAUCAUCAAUUGUAUAUGAAAAAUGAAAUAUAUAUUAUCACUAAGUUUAAAACAAUAUUUUGGUCGAGAGAAAAAUUACAAUAAAAAGAUUCAUUCAUACUGCUAGAUUUGAACUUGGCACUGUUACAUUGUGUACGAUGCCAACGACUAGGAGAUCACGGCUAUGAACAGCCCG
rnacentral:lncRNA from 1 species